rnacentral:other from 1 species
GGUGCCCUGCGGUGUUGGUGAGGCCCGCAGUGUUUUGUUCCAACACUUUUUGAUUGGGAGUCCGGACGUCAUCAGGAACUGUAACGAAUGCCCGCUGGUCGGGACUCGAGAACUUCCUGUGCAGGACAUCCACCUGCGCGAGCAGGAUCAAAACCUUGGGCUGCACGGCAAUUGCGGGGCGCCU